rnacentral:rRNA from 1 species
AUGGGAACGCGAAGAACCUUACCUACUCUUGACAUCCAGAGAACUUUCCAGAGAUGGAUCGGUGCCUUCGGGAACUCUGAGACAGGUGCUGCAUGGCUGUCGUCAGCUCGUGUUGUGAAAUGUUGGGUUAAGUCCCGCAACGAGCGCAACCCUUAUCCUUUGUUGCCAGCGGUUCGGCCGGGAACUCAAAGGAGACUGCCAGUGAUAAACUGGAGGAAGGUGGGGAUGACGUCAAGUCAUCAUGGCCCUUACGAGUAGGGCUACACACGUGCUACAAUGGCGCAUACAAAGAGAAGCGACCUCGCGAGAGCAAGCGGACCUCAUAAAGUGCGUCGUAGUCCGGAUUGGAGUCUGCAACUCGACUCCAUGAAGUCGGAAUCGCUAGUAAUCGUAGAUCAGAAUGCUACGGUGAAUACGUUCCCGGGUC